rnacentral:lncRNA from 1 species
ACUGGAAAGGGCCUAACUAAUUGAAAUUGAAUUAAAAUAAAUGGAUUUUCUCUCUCUUACAAACAAAUAGCAUUUGAAAUUAGACACCUAAAUCCUCCUCUUCUUUCUCUCUAGAGGAAACUUGCAUCCAAAGACUGGUCAUUUGGAAAAUACAAAGGCCAGGCCCCCUUGCCUCAAUUUGGGACAACUCUAAAGGACCAGCUUGCUUCCACAGCUGAGGUCUUUGUUGUACUGCAUGGUGGUUCAGCUCUUCCCUAUGCCCAUGCCGUGAAUUAGAUAAGACAGUUGACCCUUCAGACCUGGAUUUGAAUCUUAACUUGCCCAUAUACUAACUGUGCAACCUCUUCAACAUAUAACUUACUUCUUGGAGCUUUGGUUUCCUCAUCUGUGAAAUGGAGAUAAAAGCAGUCUUUGAUGGAUCAGAUUGCCUUGUACUUUCAUAAAGUACAUUUCAAUGUACUUUACAUAUAUUUAAAUACCAUAACGUAUGUAAAGUACUUGGAACAGUGCCAGGCACAUCCUAGGUCUUCAAUUAAUGUUACUACGUACUAAUCAUUAUCCCUAUAGUUUGGUGGCACAUCAACUCAAUUUCAAUAAGCUCAUAAAGGGCAGGAUGGUAUAGUGGUUAAGAGCCCACAGACUCUGAAGCCAGACUGCCUGGAAAAGAAUCCUGGGGCCACCUCUUACUAGUUGUAUGAUUUUAGCCAACUUCUCACUUUACUUCACUUCUCAGAGCUACAAGUCAUUCCUCUGAAAAAUAAGGGAAAAAAUAACACCUAGCUCUCAGAGCUGUUGUAUGGCUUAAAUGAAUAUAUAUAUAGUACUUAAAUAGUACCUACACUCUGUAAACAUUUAAUAAAUGUGUUGGCUGACCUUGUCGCUAUUAUACUCUCUAACUUGGUGGAUAAUUAUUCAAAUGGCCACAAAUUCAUCCUUUUUCUGCAUUAACAUCCUUGCAAUAUAACAUUGCAGAUCUCCCAUCAU